rnacentral:rRNA from 1 species
GAUGAACGCUGGCGGCGUGCUUAACACAUGCAAGUCGAACGAAAAAGCCCAGCUUGUGUGGUGUGCUAGUGUCGAGCACGUGUGUGUAACGCGAGAAUAACCUGCCUUACACUUUGGUGUACCUUCAAGACACUGUGGAUAAUAGGGGAUAGGCGCUCGUCCUACAUGGUGUGGGGGGGAGAGUUUCGGCGGUUGGGGAUGGACUCGCGGCUUAUCAGCUUGUUGGUGGGGUAGUGGCUUACCAAGGCUUUGACGGGUAGCCGGCCUGAGAGGGUGACCGGCCACACUGGGACUGAGACACGGCCCAGACUCCUACGGGAGGCAGCAGUGGGGAAUAUUGCACAAUGGGCGGAAGCCUGAUGCAGCGACGCCGCGUGAGGGAUGACGGCCUUCGGGUUGUAAACCUCUUUCACUAGGGACGAAGCGAGAGUGACGGUAACUGGAAAAGAAGCACCGGCUAACUACGUG